AGCGCAGAUAGUGCGCAGCAGGUGUGACCAACGGCGGUCGCGCCGUCCAAGACAAAGGCGUCUU
rnacentral:ncRNA from 1 species